GAUUGAACCCAGGGGCACUUAAUGAGCCAUAUUCCUAUCCCUUUUUUAGGGACAGGGCCUCUAAAGUUGCUUAGGGCCUAAGUUGCUGAGGCUGGCUUUGAACUUGAUCCUCCUGCUUCAGCCUCCUGAGCUCCUGUGAUUACAGGUGUACAUCAUGGUGCCUGGCUCCAUGUAAGUUCUUGAUUACCAGUCUUGGAAAUCACAUGUUUUGCAAAUGUGUUCUCAUAGUUUGUGGUUUUCUUUUUUCUUAAUAUUAUCUUUAGAGAACAAAACAAUUUAAUUUCUAUGUAGUCCAAGUGGCUGUUUUUUACAUCCCCCCCCCCCACACACACAGUAGAUAAUACUCUUUGUAUCUUAUUUAAGGAUUUGUUUCUAAGGUCACUAAUGUUUUCUUUAUUUUUCUUCCAGAUUUUUUUUUUUUUUUAAACUGGGAUUGAACUAAGGAGUACUCAAUCACUGAACAACAUCCCCAGCCCUAUUAGGUAUUUUAUUUAGAGACAGGAUCUGAGUAGCUUUGUACCUCGCCUUUGCCGAGGUUGGCUUUGAACUUGUGAUCCUCCUGCCUCAGCCUCCCUAGCUGCUGGGAUUACAGGAAUGCACCACCACACCUGGCUAUUUUUUUUUUUUUUUAACUUUUUAUAACUUUCGGUUUUACAUUUAGGUCUGUGAAACACUUUGAAUUAAAGUUUGUAUAAUGAGUGAAGUAAUGAUGGAGGUAUUUUUUUUUUUUUUUGUACUGGUGAUUGAAACCCAGUAAAGCUUAAACAUUGAACUGAGCCCCAUCUCCAUAUCUCCCAAGCCCUUUUGGAAAGGAUCUCACUAAGUUGUCUAGGCUGGCCUCAAACUUGUGAACCUCUUGCCUCAGUCUCCCUAGUUGUUGGGACUGUAGAUGUUUGCUACUGUACCUGGCUUGCUAUUUGCUUUCUAUUUAUCUCAUAUAUUUUGUUUUUCUCUCAUGGACUUGAUUAAGUAUUUUGGAAUAUUUCAUUUUAUCACCUCUACUGUAUUAGCUAUAUUUAAUUGUAAUUUUUAAUUAACCCGGUAGUAGAGUCCAUGUUUAGCAUUAAACUAUAUCCCCAGCCCUGUUUUAUUUUUUCCAUGACUACUAUAGCAUUUACAAAGGCACAACCUACUUUAAGUACAACUAUACUACUUCAUGUAUUAAAUAAGAACUCUAUGGUAGUGUAUCUCUGUUUUCCCACCUCUUGUCCAUUUUCCUAUUGUUUUGCAUUUUAUUUUUAGAUACAUUACAAACCGGUAUAUUUUAGUCAGCUUUUUCACUUCUGUGACCAAAAGGCCUGACAGAAACAAUUUUAAGAAGGAAAGUUUAUUUUGGGACUUACGGUUACAGAGGUCUCAGUCCAAAGGUGGCUGACUCCAUUCCUUAGGGCCUGAGGUGAGGCAGAACAUCACGGAGGAAGAGUGUGGCAAAGGAAAGCAGCUGGGGACAUGGUACCAGGAAACAGAGAGAGCUCCCCUCACCACAGACAAAAUAUAUAAAUCCCAGAGGCACACCCUCAGAGACCUACCUCCUCCAGCCACACCCUAACUACAGUUACCACCCAGUUAAUCCCUAUCAGGAGAUUAAUGCAUUGACUAGAUUAAGGAUCUCAUUACCCAAUCAUUUCACCUCUAAACCUUCUUGCAGUGUCUCACAGGUGAGCUUUUGGGGAUCAUCUAAUAUCUAAACCAUUAACAACCAUGAUUCAUUGUUAUUAUUAUUUGUUUUAAACAGUUGCCUCUUAAAGAGGAAAAGAUGCAUUUAUCUGAAUUCUUCAAGGCUUAUUUUUAUUAAAACUUUGUUAGAGUAGGCCUGGAAAAAAGUUUUUAUUAAAACUUUGUUAGAGUUUGCCAUAGGGCUAGUUUAGCCCAGUUUUUAAGGUCUUAGCUGAAUGUCCUGAGCUAAAUAAAACAUCUUUGGUCAGAACCAAAAUGUCUGUGUUGACUUUGAUAAUUAAGUUUAAAGUUCUCAAGUAGUUGCUUGUUACCUAAUGAUUGUUUCUUUAUCCAUGGAAUCUCACCCAUCACAUGUGCAGCUAGUUUAAGUAUUAAAGAUAAAAGGGUGUCCCACAAAUUACAGCCUUCCAAAACUCAUUAGAGUUUCUGACUUGGUUUCUGCUCUGCUUGGAUUCCCAGAUUUCCCCUUUCUGGCUGGAGUCUGGAAAGUGCCUCAGAGCACAAAGCUUGAACAUUCUUAAGGCUAAGGUAAUUUGUUUUCUCUCGGGAAUCACAGUUCUUUUCUAUUAUUCAGUAUUUAAGAAUGGUUAUUCCAUAUAUUUUGCCAAUUUUUUAGUUGCUUAUAGUAUGGGGAGGUCUAGUCUCAAGUUACUCCAUCAUGGUCAGACUACUUUAAUCUUACAGGUUGUAUUUUUGUAGGUAGCCUUCUAACAGCACUUGUCCUGGUAUAGCCGAUAUUCAUGUUCUAAUUGCUCACUACUAGAUUUUAUGUAAAAUAAGAAAUGUUAGCCUUCCUAAUAGUAUUGUAAAUAGUACUCUGAAUGUACUAUUUUACCAGUUGCAUUUUAAUGCCUACAGUCAAUAACCAGAACUGUCUCACUGGCCCCUAUACCUAGAGUAGUUUGAACUUUAAUCCAAAAUUGAGUAAUGAGAUUAUAUCUUAUUGUGUUCUUGUUUAAUAAUAUUCUAGCACAUUUAAUAAGAUUUUAUAUUGGCUCUAACCACCUGAUAUUCACUAAAAUAUGGAAAUAAUUUAAGAGCACUAGGCUCUUAAAAAUCUGCUCUAAUAUUGGAGGAGAAAAAUGAUUGAAAAUGGCUAAUUUUUAUAUAAAGGAGGCAUUAAAUUAUAAAGAAAAAGUGUUGCUAGAGGUAUCUCCUAGUUGGAGCAUUGUUUAGGUUUAUAGGCUUCAGUUUUGUUUUCUUAGCAGAAUUAACCCAGUCUCUACUCAUCAUCUAAGAAAAGACCCUUCAGGUAAGAUUUUAAAAAUUACACUGGGAUUCACAUGCGUUGCAAUACAUACCUCUGAGAAUUCAUAAUCAUAACAUGUGGUUUUCAUCUGCCUAAUAAAUCAUGCUUGUUUUACCAGUUAUUUUAUUUCAUUGUAACAAAUCUUUGUGCCACAUUUGGCAUUUAAAUAUUGACAAAUGAGGACAAAUAACUUCCCCUCAUUUUAUCGUCAUCAUUAUUUCUAGGCAACUAAUAUUGUUAUAAAAGUAUUGUGCUUUUACUUAAUACUUUUUUUUAAAUGUCUUGGUAAAAAGUCAUUUAUAGGCAAAUAUACAUAUUCACAAUAUGUAAGGGUAAGUAAGAUCUUUGGGUAGCUGGAAGAUCUUAUGAGUAAAUAGUAUUUGCUAUUAAAUGGGUUUUGAAUAGUUGUUGAAGGAUCACUUAGUAAAGGGAAGUUGCUUAUAUAUUUUGAAACUGUAAAAUGGUUUUCCCUCUGAAAUUAUCAAAUGUCUUAUACUGUUAGUGCAAGGAAUUAAAGUGUUUAAUUUAGAAAAGAUUAGUAACUGCUGGUGUUAUUCUGGCAUCAGAAAAACCUGAAGCUGGAGAGCAUUAUCUGUACUUGUCUCUUGGUACUUCAGAGAUAGAUAGUUCUUCUUCUUCUUCUUUUUUUUUUUUUUUUUAAAGAGAGAGAGAGAAUUUUUUAAAAUAUUUAUUUUUUAGUUUUUGGCGGACACAACAUCUUUAUUUGUAUGUGGUGCUGAGGAUCGAACCCAGCGCUGCGCGCAUGCCAGAUUUCCUUGUGAAACCUUCUGAUAGAAAAAGUUCUCAGUACAAACUUCAUUUGAUCUCAGCAUAAGAGAAAGAAGAGCUUUGCCAGACACCGAAGAAGGGACGGGGAUCUCUCCUCCUAAUCUGGGCCUCCUGUCAUGGAUGAAGAGACUCGGCACAGUCUUGAGUGCAUUCAGGCCAAUCAGAUCUUUCCCAGGAAGCAGCUGAUUCGGGAGGAUGAGAAUCUUCAGGUUCCUUUCCUUGAACUUCAUGGAGAGAGCACAGAGUAUGUGGGUCGUGCUGAGGAUGCCAUCAUUGCCCUUUCAAAUUAUAGACUUCACAUCAAGUUCAAGGAGUCUCUUGUUAAUGUAAGUGAUUACUAACUACUAUCUCUAAGGUAGACAUAGAAAGUUUAAGUUGAAAAAACUUUGUAAUGUACUCAGAGACAUACAAGAUUUGGGUGUGUGCAAGCAUUGUGUGCUCUGCUUUUCUCUGUUUUGCACUCGAAGGACAUUUAGUUAGUCAGCAAUUCUUAUGCCUUAUUUAAAAUGAUGUAUUUAGUUGUCAGCUGAGGUGUUCAAUGUUUAGUUAAAACUGAAUAAUUUGCACUAAGUAAUGCCUUAUGUUAAGCUUUAUAAAAGUACAGAGUCUGAAUAAGCUUUUAUUCCUCAAUUGUUAGUAGUUACCAACUACUUCAGUUGAGUUAAUUUCCUGGGCCUUAAUGUCAGAUGAUAUGUGCUUUGAGCUCACUGAAGACUCAUUAUAGGAUGAAAUUACUCUAAUGGCUCCUAAGUGGUAUAAGUAUAGAUGUUAAGUGCAAUGUUUAUUUGCAUAAUGGACCAUAUAUUACCGAAGAAAAGGAAUUCUCAAGGGUAUACUUACCCUUUUUCAAUUAUGAGGGUCUUUUCAGUGAACUGGAUCUUUCAGUGUACUGCUGUCAUUAGUAGAUUUAAAUGAAACCCACAGAGGCACAAAAGUUGUACUUGCACAAAACAAAUGCAUUCUUCAUUUGCUAGUAUUGUGGUUUUCUGCAUGUCAGUGCUAGCGCAGAGAAAUAUAUUAUAACACCUAAUAAGAGGUCAGUAUUAUAUCCCAUUCAGAUUGUGUUUUGGUUUUCAUUUUGUGGUUCUUUGAGAUCUGUCACUUUUAUUUAUUUUACUUACCAGUCCAAAAGUUACCCAAAUCCUCUUUGAUUUACCAUGAGUCAGUGGCUGCCAUUUUCUUAGUAUGUGUUAUCUAAUCUAAUCUAAUCU